rnacentral:tRNA from 1 species
UCCUGGUUAGCUCAGUUGGUAGAUUACUCCCCUGGUGAUGGGGAGGUCCCCGCUUCGAUACCAGGACCAGGCG